GUUCCUGAAACAAGUAAUCAAGAAUAGGCCGUGCCAGUGUUAACCAGCCUAUCCUGGAUUACUUGAACCAGGCAG